rnacentral:tRNA from 1 species
GGAGAGAUGGCUGAGCUGGCUGAAGGCGCUCGCCUGCUAAGCGAGUAGAUGGAUAAAACUGUCUCGGGGGUUCGAAUCCCCCUCUCUCCGCCA